rnacentral:rRNA from 1 species
UACAGAGGUGGCAAGCGUUGUUCGGAAUUACUGGGCGUAAAGGGCGCGUAGGCGGUCUUGUCAGUCCCUUGUGAAAUCCCCCCGGCUCAACUGGGGAACUGCACGGGAAACAGCAGGGCUUGAGUUCGGGAGAGGGAAGCGGAAUUCCGGGUGUAGCGGUGGAAAUGCGUAGAUAUCCGGGAGGAACACCGGUGGCGAAGGCGGCUUCCUGGACCGAUACUGACGCUGAGGCGCGAAAGCUAGGGGAGCAACGGG